rnacentral:lncRNA from 1 species
GGCUUCUCAAGUUGGAUGAGCAUCAAGAUCACCUGCAGAAGUCUUUUAAAAUUUGACAGUCUAUGCAUAGCCCUAGAUCUGCUAAAUGAAUUCCAGGAUCUCCAUGAAACCCAGCAUCCAUGCAAACAUGAUGAGAACUGACUUAAACCCUUAGCAGCUAAUAAGCUAGCUACUAAUUAUUGUCUUUACAAAUUUAACAAAUACAGGCGGGAGUAUUUAGGAAGAUUUCCAGAACAGAGGAAAGAGAUACAGAUAGAAAUGUAGAAAGAAAAGGUUAUAUUUCUGGUAGCAUUUUUUAAGAACAAUCUCUGACCUUUGUAUUUAUCUUUGUAUAUAACUUUAGAUUCUGUACUGUAAAAAAUUAGCACCUUAUGUCUUUUUUGCCCCUAUGCUAUGGAUUUUCAAAUAUGGGAGAAUUAGAAAAUGCUAUGAAUUAUCAUUUCUAUUAUUCCUUGUAGUCUUUUAUCUUUGGUGAGAACAAUUCUCUAGAUACUGCAGAGAUUUUAUAGCUUGUCACGGUUUCUACUAUAUUAAGAAUCAAGUCUAACAAAAUCAGAAUAGAUGCUAAGCCUGGAAACCCACAGGAAACAUGUUAUUCUUCAGUGUUUGCAAAGCACUGAUCAAAAACGUCUCUUCUCUCAAUCUCGCUUUCUUCUUUUCAUUUACUAACUAGGCUUUUGAGCCUCACAAGACUUUGAGAUUUUAUGGAUAUGAAACCUGCUAUCGUUUAGCUUCCUGCCUCUGGGAAUAGUACAGACCGGGUUCCACCAUGUUGGACGGGCUGGUCUUGAACUCCUGACCUCAGGUGAUCCACCCGCCUUGACCUCCGAAAGUGCUGGGAUUACAGGUGUGAGCCACCAUGCCAAGCCUAUCUACUAUUUUAUCUGACAUGCCUCUUCCCCUUCUGCCAUGACUUUACGUUUCCUGAGUCCUCCCCAGCCAUGCAGAACUACAUGGAUUCUCACUGUGACACCCAGGCUGGAGUGCAGUGGUAUGAUCAUAGGUGACUACAGUCUCGAAUUCCUGGGCUCAAGCAAGCCUUUCACCUCAGCCUCCCCAGAAGCUGGGAUUACAGAUAUAUACCCAGAAGAGGCCAGGUGCAGUGGCUCAAGCCUGUAAUCCCAGCACUUUGGGAGGCCGAGACGGGCGGAUCACGAGGUCAGGAUAUCGAGACCACCCUGGCUAACACGGUGAAACCCCGUCUCUACUAAAAAAUACAAAAACUAGCCAGGCGAGGUGGCUGAGCGCCUGUAGUCCCAACCCCUACUCGGGAGGCUGAGGCAGAAUAGGCGUGAAUCCGAGGAGGAAGACUUGCAGAGUGGAGAUCGCACCACUGCACUCCAGCCUGGGGGACAGGGCGAGGCCCCGUCUCAAAAAAGAAAAAACAAAAAACAAACAAACACACAGACAAAAAAUUAAGAUAUAUACCCAGAAGAGGAAGAGCUAGAGUAGUUGUAUUUUUAAAUUUUUUGAGGAACCU